UACGGAGGGGGCAAGCGUUGUUCGGAAUUACUGGGCGUAAAGGGCUCGUAGGCGGCCAACUAAGUCAGACGUGAAAUCCCCAGGCUCAACCUGGGAACUGCGUCCGAUACUGGAUGGCUUGAAUCCGGGAGAGGGAUGCAGAAUUCCAGGUGUAGCGGUGAAAUGCGUAGAUAUCUGGAGGAAUACCGGUGGCGAAGGCGGCAUCCUGGACCGGCAUUGACGCUGAGGAGCGAAAGCCAGGGGAGCAAACGGG
rnacentral:rRNA from 1 species